AAAAUGAUGUGCUGGGGAUAAUAGUUCUGAAACAAGUACUGGUAUAUUUGCCUUCUAGGUAAUUGAGGCUGAGCAUCCCAGAGUCCCAGAGUGGACGGGGGUGUUCGGAGAGAGUCUGUCGGUCGUAGGAAGGAUUCCGCAGAAGCUGGAGAGCCUGGGACUGCAGUGGCCACGGACGGGACUCCCAGGAACCUAGCAGGUUUGGAGCAGAUUCUUUGUUCUACAUGAGCAGCCCCUAAAUUAUAUCAACCUCAGAUAU
rnacentral:lncRNA from 1 species